CCUCCCUACUCCUCUUAAUGCCCAUCCCAGCCAGGCUUGGUCUCGUGGUAGGGCUCUGAUCUCGCCAGAGACCUCCCAAGCUCCUGGGAUGGGUUCUCUCCGAUCCCUGGGUGAAGUUCAAAGCUUUCCCUCCCUUCCCUGCCCCUGCUGCCGCGGGGUGUUUAAUGUGCGGCCAGAGUUCCCUGCUCGCCGGCGCCCCGCGUUUGAACCGCUGCUUUUCAGCUCUGUCUGAAAAGGAGUCGGCGCGGGGCCUCUCCUCUUAAUUGCAGAGGAGGUGAACAUGGAAAAGCCUCAGGCUGUUGCUAAUGCAGGCGAAGGAGGCUGCUCCAGAGGCAGAGCCUUCUCCCAGGCGUCCUCCCAGCGGGGUGGUACCCGACCCGGAGCUCUCAUCCUGGGCAUGCUCCAGCAGCAAGGACUGGCGGCGGAGCUGGAGAGCUGGAUCCCGCUGAGAGGAUGAAAACAUGGGGCUCAAGUUAUCCUGCCUGAAAGGCUUGAAGACGUGCGUGAGCAGCGGGAACGGCAGCGACCGGCCCCCGACGGCGUCCUCGGGGGAGAAGCACCUGCACGUGCCCUCCAUCAUCGUCACGCCGCCCACACCCACGGGGACCAUCCUGUCCCGAGAGGGGCGGAGGGCGGGGGGGCCGCAUCCGUGCAGCCAGUGCUGAGUGGGGACAGGGGGGACACCAUCCCGGCGGGAUGUGUCCCCGCUCCGCUGGGAUGGAGCUGCAGCCUCCAGGAUGCGACUCAGCCGGAUCCAGCACCCCGGGAGCUCCGCAGGGACACACGUGGCACCCACACGGGUGGGUUUGGACAACAGUGACUGGUUUUUCUCCCUUUUCCUAACAGCACUGUGGAGGGGGUGGCACUGCGUGGAUCCCCCUGCUGAAUAAAACCCCUGGGGCUCUGCCCCCCCCC